ensembl:lncRNA
GUUCUGUGUAAAAUUACCUUGGAACACAGUGUCAUAUGCAUUGUUGUAACUCCAGCUGUGUGUAGUCUUUAGUGAGGUGGAGUGGUGUAGUGGGCUAAGCACAGCACAACAAACCAAACACCAAAGCAACCCUGUGUUUUAUGUAUUAUUUUAUAUAAUUAUGUACAGUUUUAUUUGUCUUGGUUCAGAUAUUGCUGUUAGUUAUUGUUGUGCAGCAUAAUAUAGCUUUAUAUUUAUUUUCAGAUCAAAUGGCUGAGCAUCAUGAGAGGCAACACGCCUGGGGAGUCAGUCAGAAGACUACUUAGAAAACUCGGGACGAAUGCUCUAUGGGCCCAAUAUAGUCUUAAAUGCUGCAAGGGAAAGAAGAAUUUCCAGGAGCUGGAAAUAUGUAAUGGCAUAAUCCAUGCCUGUCGUCGAACACACACUAAGGUGCUGGAAGUAACUGAGGACUUCAUAUCAGAAACACUGACGUUUUUCACCACACAGAGAUAAAAUGCUACAAUCUAAGAUCUUACUUCAGCCCAAAGCAGAAACUUGUGGAAAAGAAGACACACAGAACACUUAAUUAGUUGUUUUAGAAUGUAUUUUGUUAUGUAAGAUUUGGAAUGUUUCAGUUUGUGCAAUGUUUGAGUAUAUCAAAUGUGAAAGUAAAAUAAGAUAUCAGUUAUGCUAUUGAUUUCAUUUAGAUGUAAUGUAUGUUACAGUGCAUUUAUCUUUGUCUUUGUAUGUUUGUGUAGUUUGUGUAGUUUUUGGCGUUAACAAAUACAAUUAUGUUUUACCAAAUGUUAUUGUUUGAAUUGAUAUUUGUUUAUAAAAAGAUCCCAGGGCAAUGUUUGGAGCAUAUUUGCAUAUUUUAUAUAACGUUUAAACAUUCAAAAAACACGUUUUCCCUAACAUUUUCCUAGCAAGAUGACAAAUCUGGACAUUUUGAAUGUUUAAAAAACAUUCAUAAAGAAUAGAAUGUAAUGUUUCUGUAACGUUCAGAUAAAGCAAGA